rnacentral:rRNA from 1 species
CCUACGGGUGGCAGCAGUGAGGAAUAUUGGACAAUGGGGGAUAGCCUGAAGCAGCGAAGCCGCGUGAGUGAGGAAGUAUUUAGGUGUGUAAAGCUCUAUCAGCAGGGAAGAAAAUGACGGUACCUAAAUUAGAAGCCCCGUCUCACUACGUUCCAGCAGGCCCGGUAAUACGUAGGGGGCAAGCGUUAUCCGGAUGUACUGGGUGUAAAGGGGGCGUAGGCGGUUAAUUAAGUCAGAAGUGAAAAUCCAGGGCUCAACCUUAGUAUUGCUGUUGAAACUGAGAAGCUUGAGUGCAGGAGAGGUAGGCGGAAUUCGUAGUGUAGCGGUGAAAUGCGUAGAUAUUAGGAGGAACACCAGUGGCGAAGGCAGCCUACUGGACUGUAACUGACGCUGAUGCUCGAAAGUGUGGGGAGCAAACAGGAUUAGAUACCCCUGUAGUC